rnacentral:rRNA from 1 species
GAUGAACGCUAGCGGCGUGCCUAACACAUGCAAGUCGGGCGAUAACCAUGGCUUCGGCCAUGGGGAGAGCGGCGAACGGGUGAGUAACACGUGAGCGAUCUGCCCUCGACACCGGGAUAGCCCGGGGAAACCCGGAUUAAUACCGGAUGGCCUCUCGAGCCCACGGGCUCGUUAGAAAAGAUGGCUUCGGCUUUCGGUCGAGGAGGAGCUUGCGGCGGAUUAGCAUGUUGGGGGGGUAACGGCUCACAAAGGCGACGGUCCGUAGCUGGUCUGAGGGGCCGAUCAGCGACACUGGGACUGAGACACGGCCCAGACUCCUACGGGGGGCAGCAGUGGGGAAUCUUGCGCAAUGGGCGAAAGCUUGAUGCAGCGACGCCGCGUGAGGGAAGAAGGCCUUCGGGUUGUAAACCUCUUUCAGGAGGGACGAAGCCACUCGGGUUAAUACCCCAGAGGGUGACGGUACCUCCAGAAGAAGCCCCGGCUAACUACGUGCCAGCAGCCGCGGUAAGAC